AUUUAAAUAGUUUAAUUAAAAUAUUGAUUUGUGGUAUCAAUGAUGUAAUUUAUUACUUUAAAUU
rnacentral:tRNA from 2 species